GAUGUAGGGGGCGAGCGUUGUCCGGAAUCAUUGGGCGUAAAGAGCGCGUAGGCGGCCCGGAAAGUCGGAUGUGAAAACCUGGGGCUCAACCCCAGGCCUGCAUCCGAUACUCCCGGGCUCGAGGCAGGUAGGGGAGAUCGGAAUUCCUGGUGUAGCGGUGAAAUGCGCAGAUAUCAGGAGGAACACCGGUGGCGAAGGCGGAUCUCUGGGCCUGUCCUGACGCUGAGGCGCGAAAGCUAGGGGAGCGAACAGG
rnacentral:rRNA from 1 species